rnacentral:rRNA from 1 species
ACACUGUGAGGAUUGACAGAUUGAAAGCUCUUUCUUGAUUCAGUGGGUGGUGGUGCAUGGCCGUUCUUAGUUGGUGGAGUGAUUUGUCUGGUUAAUUCCGUUAACGAACGAGACCUUAACCUGCUAAAUAGUCACGCGAACCGGUCCGCAAGGGCUCAAAGUUCGCGGCUCGACUUCUUAGAGGGACUAUUCGCACCCGCCAGCGAAUGGAAGUUUGAGGCAAUAACAGGUCUGUGAUGCCCUUAGAUGUUCUCGGCCGCACGCGCGUUACACUGACGGAGUCAACGAGCGUUUUUCCUUGCCCGACAGGGCUGGGUAACCUCCUGAAACUCCGUCGUGAUGGGGAUAGAUCAUUGCAAUUAUUGAUCUUGAACGAGGAAUUCCUAGUAAGCGCGAGUCAUCAACUCGCGCUGAUUACGUCCCUGCCCUUUGUACACACCGC